GUAAGUCUCAGAGAUGUGACUGUAAGGGAGAGGAGACAUGGGUUGAAUAAUACACGAGGCAUAGCAUGCAAAUUACAUUUUUAAGAACAAUCCAACCUGCUGGAGAAAAGGCACUCGACCCAAAAGGGGUUUUCACUCCCAGAGAGAAGCAGUGUCAGCCAUCAACUCUCAUGUUUGAUCUGCUAGCUUCCAGAGUGAACAGUGCUUAACUUGCCCUCCAAGAGAGCAGAGUUGGGUUGUUACAAAGGUUGAUUCUGUCUAAGAUGUUUGGAAUGCUUUCCCAAGGAUAUAACCAGUCUCACUUUAUCAAAAGAGAAGGCCAGAGAAAAGGCCAAGAGCCACAGUCAAAGGCCAGGGGAUGAAAGCAGUGUUUGCCACUUCCCCAACAUCCUUGUCUCUGGCUGCUGUCUUGCGUGGGGAAGCAGAUGCCUGCAAAGCUUCUGGCCAUUUGCUGGAGAACCCCCUGAGGUUCUGGACCUCAGCACGAGCCCCACAAAGAUGUAGUGUAAAAGCUCGUGUCAGGGCACAUGAGGGGUGUAAGGAGCCUAAAGGGACACCUGGCAAGUCAGUUCUCAAAGCAGUGGGACUCAGGAGUUCUUAGCCUGGGAAGACUAAGCCCAUUCACCUCCAUCCUGCCAUGCCCCUCCCUGUGGGUUGUUGUAAGGCACUGAAAGGCUGUGUGAAUUAUGGAGGCGCUGCCAACCAGCUCAUCUUUGGGACUGGCACGUUGCUUUCUGUCAAGCCAAGUACGUGAGUAGUGGGAUUCUGUGUCCCUAGCAAGUGGGAAGGAACAGCCACUGUUUGAUGAAAGGGGAGGAUGAAGGUAGAUUUCUUACCCCUCCAUCAUUCCUUAUCUAGUUAGGCUCUCAAGUGUCCUAAUCUCCUCAUAGCACCACAAAGUCAGAGAAGGGGAAAUAGGCUAGUGUUAAGAUAAAUCCCAGGAAGAAAAACCCCUGUAGAAAAAUCCUUCUCAUUUAAAUGUUACAGGCUUUCUGCUCAGUGAACUUGAUUUCCAAGCCACUUAUCAGCUCUGGUCCUACCUUUAUCUAGAUAGGUACAGCCUCUCCUAGCCUGUUUGUGCAAUUGUGUGUGAGCCGGUCCAAGCAUCUUAUUUUUCUUCCCAAAGAGACCUGAGAGCUACGGUUGGCGAGACUGCUAAGAAGGCAGACAAAACUGACCCAGGGUAGGGGAGGCCAAAGACGAGGCUUAGAGUAGGCUGUGGUUGUUAUUUAGACACUACGUCAUAUCCAACUCUUUUGCAACCCCAUGGACUGCAACCCACAAGGCUCCUCUGUCCAUGCGAUUUCCCAGGCAAGAAUGCUGAAGUGGGUUACCAUUUCCUCCUCCUGGGGAUCUUCCCAACCCAGGGAUCAAACCCACGUCUCCUGCACUAGCAGGCAAAUCCUUUACCAGGGAGCCACCAGGAAAGCCCUAGGAUAGGCUAGGUCAGUAUUAAAAUGGUGAUCCAUGGAACACCUUCCCCAUAUGUCCUGCAUUUGUUUCCCUCCUUUUCAUUUUCCCUAAAAUACAUCUCUUUGGCUUGUUCUGGACACUCACUGCUCCCAAGCUAAGAGGAGAGAAAAUUGGUAUUUAACUCGCUCUUCAAAUCUGAAGAAGCAACAAGUCACAGUUAUGUUGGGGAUGAGAUCUAGUCUCCUGUCUCCAAGUUUAAAAUCCUGUCACCAAGGCCCUAUUUUUAACCAAGAUCUGGUGUCACCGUCUUGGACGCUCACUCCUCUCUCUUCCCUUCAAGUCUCAGUGUCUGUGUUAAUAUGUAGGUUAAAACUCAGCCAAUGCUCAGCUUAGUGAUAAAAGGGCUCUUGUGUGCCCUUAUCCUUGUCUUUAGGAUACCAUCUUCCUUGUAACAGAAAAUGUUCACGUCUUUCAUUUAUUUCAGAACUGGACUUUCUUAAAGUGUAGUAGAUGGUGUGUUAGGACUCCCUUGCUCGUCUGAAGCAUCAUGAGUCCAUGGUGGCACUUCUCUAAGAAAAGAUAAGAUGGCUUGUCACUUGUUACUCUUCCCUGGUGAAAUAUCUUCUUAGGCUGCCACAUAGACACUGUUACAUAGUGAGAAAGCUUGGAAAUACCCUGAUCAGUGAGUAGGGAACAGGACCAUGGCAUUUGGGUGAAGUCUGGAAAAGAAUUCAGACAGCUCUGAAGCUGGACAACAUCCCUGUGGGUAUAGGAAGGCAUCAUUGUUCCAGACCUGUCUGUCUAGGGCUAGGCUGUCAUGUAUGAGAAGAAGAGUUGCUAACAGAUUAGUUGAUUUGGCCAUGGCAGAUUGAAGCCUAACAAUGCAAAAGGUGUUAAAAGCUCCUACAUUUGGUCUUUUUUAAAUAAAAAUUAUUUGCUUUUUGUAGCAGAACCAGUAUUUUCUUCUUAUCAUAAAAGACCGUUUUCCAGAAACACAGGGAAAAAAAACAUGGGGAAUCCAAUGCCCCUUCACUCCUGAGCCAUGUGUAAAGUGGGGUUUCACUAGGGGUUUCAGUAAAAGCAGGAAAUACUGUGGGGACUGACAAUACCAGAAUCUUCUUUGGAACUGGAACCCAGGUGGUGGUAAAGCCCAGUAAGUGGCCCUGUUCUAUUUAUACUUGACCGAACAAAUAAAUUCUGUGAAGUUAGUAGAGAUUUAAUUUAAUAUGUAGACAAAUAUACCUUUUGAAAAAUGACUUUUGUAAAUGCAUGAAACAUUCAUGGUUGUUGAGAACAGAGAAAUAAUGAUAAAUGGAUACAGAAUGAGAUCAUCCCAAAUUGCCUUUAAUAUGGUAGCUCAGCUCCUCUUCUUAAAGAGAUACUGGAGUCAUGAGUUGUUUACAGCCACAGUAUCUCUGAAACUAUAUACUCUGCAGUGAUUUGUGUGUUUACUGUGAUGUUGCCCACAGAACUUGUCUUCCAUUCUACUAAAAAUGAGAGUCUAUCUCAUUUUAAAUACUCCUCAUGUGGAUAAGUAACUUCUCUGUCGCUCAUGCCUGCAUAUGUAUUUAUUUCUAAAAGAUUCAAUAUAAAACCCAAACAUUAUCCCAAUUUGACAAAGGUCCACAUCCAAUCCUAUACAUGUCAAAUUUCACUAAAAGCAUAGCUUUACUAUUCAAAUGCAAUGGGAGAAAGAAACAACUGAGAUAAAUUGAUGAUCCCAGAUGGCUUAUUAACACCUGAAAAGGAAUUCAGAAUGAAAUAAAAUGGCAGGCAUGAUGACAGGAUUUUUGUUUAAUGAUCAGUUCCUCCAUGGGGAGUAAAAACUUUUUGAACAUGCCUCACUGGGGAGGAGGGAAAUAAUGAAUUCAGGAGCCUGGCAUUCCUGGGGUGCACCUGGGAUGUCAGUUUCUCCACAAUACAUUUUGGAAACAAAAUGACUCAUCCAAAUGUCAAGUCAAAAAAAUAAUAGUAAGAGGCAGGUGUUGUCAAGUUGGCUGACUGAGUUAUUAAGCUUAUAUUAGGUUAUAAUUGAAACUAUAGACUGACCAACUGGCCAAAGAGCUUUGAAAUAGAAUGGCCUAAUCUCUGAAUGGUUUAACUGUGGGGAAUGACCGAAGACAGAGAAACAAGCUAGAGGACUCGUAAGUUUGCUUUGCGCUGUGUGUUCUGCUAUACUAAGUCACUUCAGUCAUGUCUGACUCUUUGCCAGCCAAUGGACUGUAGCCUGCCAGGGUCCUCUGUCCAUGAGAUUUCGCAGGCAAGAACUGGAGUGGGUUGCCAUGCCCUUCUCCAGGGGAUGUUCCUGACCCAGGGAUCAAACUCACAUCCCUCAUGUCUCUUGCACUGGCAAGUGGGUUCUUUACCACUAGCACCAUCUGGGAAGCCCACGUUUGCUUUAGAGCUAGCAAAUAUGACCAAUCCAUGCUAAUCCUUUUCAAUAACUGUGAUAAAGACACUUUGGGGGUCAGGUAGUCAAUGAGGAGGAGACAGUGGGGUUUGAUUUUUUAUGGGUCAAACAAGGAUUCAAUCAGGACUGGUGGUAAUGCCAUCCAGUGUCCAUCUCUUAGUGGUAAGAAAACAUGCAUGGACUAUGAAAGAACAGCGUUCCCUGAAAGACUAGAGUCCUUCUGGGCCAAGGGAUGACCUGCACUACCACUCACAGGGCAGGUCUAUAAUCAGUGUAGCAAACAUGUGCUUGAGCUCAGGUAAGGUAUCUUCAGGGUGAGGUGGUACAGCCCCUCCGGAACAGAGCCCAGGGUGAGGUGAGGGCUCUGUGAAACAGUUCUGUCUCAGGUGAAAUUCAGAUGUGUGUCUUGCGUAGCCCCUUCCUGCCCCCAUCUUUCUUCAGACUCUGAGGAGUGGGCAUCUAGCUCAGUAGCUGUCUGCUCAGUCGUUUUUCACCUACUGCCACAGAACUGUGUUAGAUAUCACAAAGGAAGUCAUUGAAUUGUUGCUUUUAUCAUUCACUCUCAGUGCCAAAUGAGGUCGUCCAAUUUCCUCUCUGCAUAUUUGCAACAAGCAGCAUAAAAUUGAAGCAAAACAACCAGGAGACACAGAGAAAGAUAACUGAAGAGAUAACAAGGCCUGUUUAUUAUAAUAGACAGGAAAGUGUCCCAUGAAGGUGAGAUAGCCAUCAAGCUUUCCUGAAGAGUCACUGGGAGUUUUUGUUGUGGCCCCAAUCACAGUGUGAACAAACCACUGGCAAAAUUGUCUUUGGAAGAGGGACUCAGCUUCAUGUUCUCCCCAGUAAGUGCUGUUCAUGUGAUUUUCUGAUAUUGACUCCCAUCGCCUGAAAGUGGUUUGGUGUUGGGUGGGGAAAGCUUCUUUGGCUCCAAGACAUGCGGGUACCCUCUAGUUCCUGAGUCCUGCUCUACAGAGAGGCCCAGUCCUUGACCCUUCCACAGCUUCGCCUGAUAUCGAAUUCUUUCCCUUCUAGAGCUUGAAAAGUUGCUGCCAGUGCUUUUGGUACUUAAAUAUUAAUUAUCCUUUCCACAGUUUAUACAUGUAAAGAUUCAAAAAUUGUGAAACUUUGUCAAGGGUCAUUUUCAAGUUUCCCCUCCCCCACCCAGGCUGCUCCCCACCCCCUCAUGGACUUUGGACACAUCAUUAAAUCCAGGAUGAUUUCUGACUUCAUUCUUCAUAAAAGAUGCACUUUCUCUGUUCAGCCUCUGCUAAAAUUCCUGGCUCUGGUGCCCCACGCCUUCGCAUUUCCUUUGUUCCAGGGAUGAGUAGGAGAUAACUUUUUUAAGAGCUACUUUAAUGCCAGAAGCAACAAAGAUGGUGUGUCAGCCAAGAACAACAUCUUGUGUUGAGCCUUCUCACCCUGUGCCAUUUUCCAAAUCCUUUUUUUCAUUUAGGUAAAACAGCCACUCCUAUUUAUUCCUAGCACAGCAAAGAGUUCAUUAUAAGGCCAUAGACAGGGGUUUCCUUUGGAAUAUAUUUCACAGGCUAACAAUAAGCUGGAAGUUUGCAGAUAGUUCACAAAUGCAUUCUCAGGCCACAACUCCAUGUAUGGAAGCCAGUAUGGGCUUCCAGGGAGAAGGAGGAAAAGACGUGCUAAGGGAAAACAAAAGCUAUGGUUUAGUGGGGGAGAUUUCUGGGUGAUUCCACCCAGGGAAAAAAAAUUAACAUGAAGAAACACUCAGAAAACCCCCAAGGCCAGGCAUUCAGAGUUUUUGUGAUGAAGGCAAUCACUGUGGGGAUUCAGGAGACAGGCGACUUGUCUUUGGAAAAGGCACAAGACUUGCUGUGACUCCAAGUAAGUGUCCCUGGCCAUCCCUGAUUUUGAUCAGCAAUAGCAUCUACGCUUAAAUGAUUUUUCGGUGAACCUAUGAAUGCUUUUUCCCCCAGGAAAGGUCUAGCAGGAGCUAGGAAGUUAGUACUCGGCAGGAAGAUGAACAGGUUACUCUGACAUAAUUCAAAAAGCCAACGAGACAAUUGGGACAAGCUCCAAACCUCACCCCAGCCUCAGCCCCUCCGACUGGCUCUGGCCACAUAUCCUGCCCAGUUCUCUCCCGUGAUCCCAGGAGCCCAGAACCCUAGAACAGAGAAACUGAGACUCCUUAGUCUGGGGAGCACAGGGAAGCUUUUCUGAGAUCCAAGAGCCGCUUUUAAAUAUAUUGUGGGUUUCUGUCUAAUGUUGUUAUUCAUUUUAAUUUGUCUAAGUAAUAUAUGAAAAUUGCUCAUUAUAAAAGCAAUCCAAAUCACAGAUAAAGCCAAUAUUCACCCUGACCUCCUCUUCCUUCAGUAUCAGUUUCCUCCCCAAAGGUGACCCUUGGGAUUGGUUGGGUGAGUUGUGAUGAGUUUCUGCUUGGAGCAUGACAUGAAAUCUCCUGUCUUCAGUGAAGGCAACUCAAGACAUAAAGAACUCAGACUGCAGUUUGCAGAUUUCAAUUAGAUUAAGGAACGGUUACAUCCUUGAAUGCAAAGGCUAUUGGCAAAGGAGAGUUACCUUCCCAGGAGCUCUUGAGGAAUACAUUGGUCUUUGGUCCUUGGCUGAAGACAGGAGGAUGGACCAGGUGACCUCUGAAAUCCAGCCAGGUCUCUGUAGGACUCAGGGAUGGCCCACCUCGUGGCAAGUGUCUGUAACAGCCCUUCUCUUCAGCCUGUCCUCUGGUUAUUGUUUCAGCCUGAGCUUUAGUCAGCACUGCUCCUAUACUGUGAAUGGUUUGAUUUUUCUCAGCAUCUGUGGGGUUUUUGCAAAGAAAGGAAACUCUGUGCCUACUCUGGGGCUGGGAGUUACCAACUCAACUUCGGGAAGGGCACCAAACUCUUGGUCACACCAAGUAAGUUCUUCUUUCUGGCUAAUUAUUCUUCCCAAGAUGCCUGCCUUCCAUCAAGCAGAAGCUGUCAAAACACAGGUGGUGUUUUCUUUGCUUGGUUUGUGUUGGGUGUUUCAUGAUACCAGUUGGAAAACAAGGUUAUUAAUGCACAUAUCCUCUGGAGCAUUGUACUUGGCUUUUAAGAUCCAUGUAGUUUCUCCCAGAGAAAAUAUGUGAACCUCCACAAAGAGGAAGGCCCAGGGAAAGCCAAGGGGGUGGCGGUGGAGGCAGGAAUUGGAUGAAAACAGAUAAAGGGCUUACAGGAACAACAAAUAAGAGGGGAUCCCAGGAGACCAUGCAGUAGCCACCUUGAGUGAACUUCCCAGGAGUUGCUCCUGCCAAGGCCCAUUCUCUCAAGGAAAAUUACAGCAAAAAGAAUUGGACUGGGAAGUUGCUAGUUAUUAGUAUUCAACCCACAUUCUAACCUAAUUACAAGGAGAUUGUUUUGGCCAUGGGCAGUCAUUUCAGGUUCUGUUUUCCUGCUUGCCUCCUCCACCUCCACCUGUCUUCCUAGAGGCCCAAGUCAAGGUUAUUGCAAUAGCACUGAGCACUGUGUAACACCGGCACAGGCAAAUUAACCUUUGGGGACGGGACCGCGCUCACUGUGAAGCCAAGUAAGUUGUGUUCUUCUUUGGCUGUGCCUUCAGGGGCAAUCAAUCAAAUCGUUAGUUUGAAAAAUACUUUAAUCCUGUGCAUCUGCUUGGGCUCUUUAUUAAUGUUCUUUCCCCAGGCCAAAGAGAGUUGGUUUCUUUCUCUGCUUAAAAUGAGAUAUGCAUGUACGCAUGCGCGCAUACACACACACACACACACACACACACACACACACACUUGCUCUGGCUCAUGGUGAGGGGCUUUCAGGAGCAUAGACAGCAUUUUCAAAGAAAUCUAGAUAUAAACAAUAACUGAGCCAACGAGAAAGUCGGGAAGAACCUCCAGAGAAGAUGCCCCACCCUGGUCCGGCUUCUCUGCACGUUCUCAGCCAAAUAGGGGGCUUUGUCUCUGUCUGAUGGUCUAGGGCAGGGAAUCCCUCAGCUUCUCUCUGUAAUCAAUUCUAAAAUUUAGCAGCCUUUGCUGCCAGAAAUAAAGCACAUCUGACUUUGACUACCCAUGUGUGCACUGCGAUUUAAAUCUCUGAAAAGAACCCCUAGAACUUUAGACAUCUAAUUUGAGAAUAAAAUUCCUACAGUUAAGUAUGAAAUUCAGCACUGAAUCUCUUUCUGCAGCAUCUCUGAGCUGCCAUGUGUCCCUCAGGACAUGAACUAAAUGAUUAGGCAUUAGGCGUUAUAGUGUAAGAUUUGGAGACAGAAAAACCUAAAUUCAAGUUCUGGCUCCACUACCUUACCAGCUGUGUGAUCUUGGACAAAUUAAUUAACCUCUCUGAGCCUCAGUUUCCUCAUCCAUAAGAUGAGGAUAAAAAUAUCUCUACCUUAUUAUGCUAUUGAAAGGAUCAAAUAAAAUAACAGCUAAAAUAUUUAGCAUAGUGCCCAAAACCUAGAAAGAGCUCAUUAAACCCUAGCUAUUAAUAAUAAUGAUAAACAUCAUCUCCAACACACAGUAGCACUUUUGUUUCACCCCUCAGGCUCUUCUGUCAAGGCUCUGUCAUGCAUCAGGAGAAGAGCUGGCAGGAGGGGAGGGUGGAGAAUGUCAGCCUGCUCUAUGAAAUUCUUCACUUGGGAUUGGAAAGUGUCUAAAGGGAAAUAGAAAGAACCCUGGCUAAUUUAAAUAGAAAAUCAUCCAAAUGUCAGAGGCAGGGGAGAGAUUUCUGCAGAGAGCUGCAUGGCCCGAGCUCCCGAGGCUACAAAAUAGCCCCUUAGAGCAGGGAUGCUGCUCACAGUGUAGUUAGGUCAGGGCUGUAGCAGCUGAAACCUAGCGCCAUCCUCCUGGCAAGCUGACCCCAGCAUAGCUCCCUCCCGGAUAUGGUCUCCCCAUGCGGAGGGCCUGGGACCGAGAGAGAUGGCAGCUUCACAGGGAAGAGCUACUUGCCCUCAGAUUGCGUCUCUGCUCCUCUAGGUAGUAAUGCUCGUGAGAGAUAUGAUGCCUGAAGACAGCCCCUAAAUGAAACUCUCAGACCCAGGGAUGGAGAAUCGGGAGUCUAUAGAGGCAAACUGGGCCAGUUAGUAUUGAAGAAAAGGGGUGGAGGGUAAAGUGGAAAUCUAGUCAUAGCUAAAUCUGGGAGAGGGCACAUUAAACAAAAGCUGGAGGUGCUGUGUUGCCCAGCUCCCUGCCUGACCCCGCCCUGGGACUCAAACCUCAGGACAUGGCUAAUACUGCAAGAGGAAGGGAGUUAAGUUAGUGGUAAAACCUUCCUAAUAGGUUUGUGAACAGUGAAAAUGAGCUGUCAGGAGUAGUUGCCAGGGCACUUUCUCUGGAGGUUUUUUGAAAGGAGAUAGACACCCUCCUCUCAGGGCUAACUGAAGCGCAGCCCUGCCUGGAGGCAGGAGGAAAAAGAGAGACACUCUCUAAGCCUCUUCCCAGCCCUGGAGCUGCUCUGUGAAAAAAAUUCUGGCUCAUUAAUGCAGAGCUGCCUCCUUCAGGGCACCAGGGUUGCUGGGUUAAAUUUGGGAACCCUUGCUUGUUGUGUCCCAAACUCCCUUUGUACUCAGACUGAACAGGAUAAGCAUCCUAAAGCUAAAAACACAGAGUCUGAGUCGUGGGUCACUGGCGGUGUUGAGAUGUGUGAGUUGAGGGCGGGGGGGCCUCUGUGGGGCUCUGAGGGAUUUUUGUAAAGCCCAGGGGCACUGUGGGAAUAACUAUGGCCAGGGUUUGAUCUUCGGUGGAGGAACCAGAUUGUCUGUGCAGCCCCGUAAGUAUGGAGAGGUGGGAGCAGAAACCAGCCUGUGCCUGAUGCCUGGGUCCAUUGUGACCUUGGAGCCAGGAUGGAAAGGAGAGUAAGGAGUGAAAGGGAUGUUUAUUCAGGAAGGAAGAUCGCAGGACCAUGUGAUAAUACUGGGGAAAGUACACCAGAGAUUUCUCUUCUCAGGAGGGCUUUGUCGGGGGAGAGCUGAAUUGGCAGGUUUUUGAUGCUGAGAUAAUCACUGUGAGGAAGGACAAGGCUUCUCCCUCAUCUUUGGGAAGGGGACAAGGCUGCUUGUCAAGCCGAGUAAGUGGCAUCCAAUUUGACUUGUGCUCUGAAUAUGAUAAUCUCCAAGAGAAGACCUGCUCUCUUUCCCACGAGGUCUCCUUGGGCCAGAAAGAUGUUCUAGGGGCUGAGCAGACCAAGGCCCAGGGCCUGGUCAUCUUCCUUGUCUUUGAAGGAGCUCUGGGAGGUACAGAGGGAGAGAAACUCACCAGGACCCCACCGACAGCCCAGACUUGGGGUCUGUCCAUGCUGUCAACCUUCCAAUAAGUAAAAGCGUCUGAUGGCAAGUCUUCCUCAGGAGGAGAUGCCAGUAGAGUUAUGCCCAUUUCAUAUACUUAAAAACUGAGGCCUCUCAGAGAUUGACAUAUUCUAACAGGAACGGAAUUCAGGGAGAACAGUUUUUCCGGUAGACGGUUGGAUUUGAAGCAGAAGGUUAUUUGAAUGAGAGGAUAGCUCUGGUAGCCAGCUUUCACCUGAGCUCCAGGUGGUGAGCACUGGGUAGGGUUUUAGGUAAACUCCUGACUGUGGGGUUUUAUCACUGCAGAGCCCAGUCUUCCCUAAGCCUGGUCUUCAUUAACCCAAGCAGUGCUACUCCCUGGCCCUGCAGCCUUGGAAGUGCAGCUCCUGGCAACAUCAUUCUCGGUGUCUUGUAAUAAGAGAAAUUAGAAGAGAAGCCGGGGAAAAGCUUAUAUCUUGAAUCAUGCAGUUCCCUCAUUUUGUAGCAAGAUUGUUUCCCCACGAGCCAUUUGUCUUCAUUUAGCUGCUGUCUUCUCUGGGGAAGCCAUUUUGUAGAGGUGUUCGUCACAGUGUGACAACUGACGGCUGGGGGAAAUUGAAUUUUGGAGCGGGGACCCAGGUUGUGGUUACCCCAGGUAAGCCUGAUUCCCUGGAGCCCCAAUUGUCCUCAAUUCUAACCCAUGUGCCAAGUAUUUCUAUUUCUGAGACCAUGAGAGACAUAUUUGAAAGGAAGCCAUUUUGCUGAACAGCAGUACCCAGAGCCAUUAAGCAAAAGUGAGAGGCCGGUUUGGUGUUAAACAGUAACAUUUUUUGGAUGAACAGGAAUCCUCACUAUUCCCUAUCAGUCCCCUGUGUAGGUACCUGACUUCCCUUAUAAGGAAAGAACUUACAGGAGAAUGUAGAGCCGUGAUUCACACCGAGGUGUGGGAGAGAUGGGCUGUGGAUUCUGGAGGGGGAGGAUUAGAAAUGUGUUCAGGAAGAUUGGAUGUGUUUUUGACAGGCUGUAUAACACUGUGUGAAUUAUAACCAGGGAGGAAAGCUUAUCUUCGGACAGGGAACCGAGUUAUCUGUGAAGCCCAGUAAGUAUAAAUGUGUAUCCCUGGAUUAAGCAAUGUCUAUGGAUUAAAGGCUGAUUUAGACCCAAUUAUACACUAUCGGAAGAAUGUUUAGGAAGGGUGAAUGAGCGUCAGAUAGAAGGACAAAAGUCCCCUGGCUAGGAUCUGACAUCUGUGUGCAAAAUGGGCCAUGUAGGGGAGUGUCUGGGAAUUGUUCCCAGAAUAUAUUCGGUGAGACAGUGAUGUGUGACUGAUUACUUGAGGUGCUGACUAGGAUCUGUGGCCCUAGAUUUGUACCAUCAUCAGUGACAAGACUUCUUCCUUUCCAAGCCUCUAAGGCACUAUUCUUUUUGGCUAAGAUUAAUGUCAAUUUAUAGAAGGAACCUUGUAAAUAGUGAUCAUUGACCAGAUAACUGUGAUUCGCCUCUCCCAAGGUCUAAAAAUCACUUUUAAAACAAAGUGUAUUCAUGAGUACUGUUGGGACAAUUUCUGUUUCUGAAAAUUUAGGCCAAAAAUGUGUACAGCAUAGCCUCGUGGAGCAGAGAGAACCCUUAAAAAUCAUCCUUUCUGACUGUCCGCAUAUAAGGAAACUGAGGCCCAGGGAAGAGACAGAUCAUGGCCCCACAGCCAAUCUGUGGCUGAGCUCAGGCUAGAAUUUAAGUCCCUAUCAUUAAUUCUCCUGGUUAGGGCAAUUUCCUGGUGGUGUAACCCAGAGACGCUCAGAGCAGUGGAGAAAUAUUCUCUGUCCUGGCUUUGUGAGUCUUCUUAGAUGAAAAGAUGUAAAUACUGGUUUGACCUAUGAAAUCAGAGAGCGCUUACCCUCUCUAUAUAUUAAAAGCAUAUGUUUGAUACCUAGAACUCUGUAGUAGAAAGUGAGAAGCAAAGGUCCCCUAAAAGAAGGUGAGAUUUUAAAGACAAAAAGCCUUUCUUUAUGAUUUGUAGAUAGGCAAUUUGGUUACUCCAGAUCAAACCUAGUUUGACAGGCCUAAUUCGUAAAGUAAUUGCCAGCUCUUUACUCUGUGCUCCGGCCAACCUGGCCCAAAGGCUCUGGUUUUUGUUGUUGGGCUUAUCAUAGUGCUUCCUCUAGUUCAAGCUGGCACCUGACCUUUGGAUCUGGGACCCAACUGACUGUUGUACCUGGUAGGCCAUCACAUUUAAGUCAUAUUUUCAUGAAUUUAUUAAUCUAUAGAUGUAUAGUAUAUAUUUAUGUAACAUAAUGGGCCUGCAGGUGGGAUGGGGAGAGAAACUAACAACACAUACUUUAAAAGGUAAAUAAGAAGAGAAUUAUUUAUCAAAGACCAAAGAGAAAGAAGCCUUUCUGCCAAGUUUGGAACAGGAGUUGGUGAAAAUUAGCAGAAAAGAAGCUGCCCUAACCUAGAAGAAUAACAGAUUUCAUAAUGGGAACCUCUGUUUCUCAUAAUAUUUUCACUAGAACAGGUGAAAUGCUACAAGAUGGUUUUAAUGGGAAUUAUCUUAAACCAAGUCUAGUUGGCCAGCUAUGUUGCUAGCCCAUCCUGGCUUAUUUCUACAUAAAGCACUAAACACAAAAGUGCCUAUUUAAGAUAUUUAAAUGAAGCUCUAUUUCUAUAGCUUUCUGGUGCCCUUCCAGCAAAGCAUUCUUGUAACAUCCUGCUUAUCAUUUCUACAAGUAAGAACAAGUAAGCCCUUUGCCCUCCCAAACUGUAUAAGUAUUAUAAUUACUUGCCUUAGACUGAAGUCACCUCUAUUUUAUUUCUCAUAACUGUGUUCAUUUGUUGAGAUUUGUUUAAAUCCAAACAGUGUGGGCGUCUAACUGUUGGCACUGAGGUUUCCUUUCUCUUGAAAGUGUCAGCAAAAUAUUUUGCCCAUAAAUAAUGUUUCAUCUAGACUUGCAAAUGACAGCCAAGUCUGCGGCCUCUUUUUUCCUCCCCCUUCCUAAAGGGAAUAUGCAGGCAGAGAGCAGGAAAAAAAAAAAUCCAAAACCUACAGUUUCAUUGUGGGGGCAGGGCAGGAGCUGUUAAAGUACAUUUGGUUAUAUAAUGGAGGUACUUUGACGGAUAGGACGCAGUGAUCUUGUUUGAUCAUACACCCAGAACACUGCUAGCUUGCUGGUGUGGUUCAGGGUGUCCUUGAAAAGAAACUCAGGUCAGGUUGCCAAGCAUGACACAGAUCCAGGUCCAACUCAGGGAGAGAAGCUCCUGGAUAGCCCUGGAACUAAAGGCAGAAUCAGGAUUCUCCUUACAAUCUAGUCUAUCUGAGGAGAACUUCCAUUUAUAAUUAGGAAGAGAGACAGGUAAAGAGCAUUUAUUUGCAGAGUCCUUGUUUCAAAUAUUGUGUGUAUGGAGCACAGAAGACACAAGAUUGAACCCAAGCAGAAAACGAAAGAAAAGAAAUCAAUAAAACCACUGAAGAAAAUCAGAUGCCCUUAACAUGCCUGUCUCUGAUAAUGAAUGUGUCUUCUUGGUUUAUUCCCCACUUUGGUUCUUGAAUUUUCUAGGAAAGUAGCGAAAAAAAGGAAAAGAAAACUGGUGGCAUUGGGUUAGUCCUGGCCUAGCUUGGUUAGUUAUCUCUGAAUAACACACCCUCCUUUUAGAAAGUCCAGGAGACUUUUUGUAAUGGUAGUAAACAUGGUGUACAACACCAACAGAUUUUACUUCGGAUCUGGGACAAAACUCAGUGUAAAGCCAAGUAAGUGACAGUUGUCUAUAAGAAAAAGUCACCAGCAUAUUAUCCUAAAUUCCUCUUACCAGUCUGUAUUGAUUUUGAAUUCUUUUCUUUUGUUUCUUGGCCCUUGUUCAUAUGUCCCUUAAACAUAUGUAAAAUGUAGUAAACAAAUCCUAUGAUUCAGCAAACAUUUUAAAACUGCCAACCAUACUCUUAGGAUGAUAUCCUAUAUAAGGAAAAUUCUCAGAUUUUAACUAUAGUUGCUUUUAUUAUUAGUUAACUCAAAAAAAAAAACCAUUUGGACAUAAUUUAAAAGGGCUAUGAAUAUCCAGGACCUCAGAAAGGAGAUAUUACAAAUUAAAAUUUUAUUAAAUUAAAAUUAUGUAUUAUAAUUAUAUUAAUAAUAAUCUAAUAGCUAUAUUUACUGAGCACUUGCUAUGGUGUAAAUGCCUCUCACGCUUUAACUCACUUAAUCUUCCUCACAGUCCUCUGAAAUAGUUAUUGCCAUCCCCAUUUCACAGAUGAGGAAACUGUAAAAGUGAAAAAUAAAACAAGAGUUUAAAAUAGUUACCACACAGGGAAGGCCUCGGGGCAGCCUGCCUGUCCCCCAGCCCACUCUCUUAUCCAAGGCAGGGUUUGCGUAGGAAGACGUAGCACUGUGACUCUAAAUAACUACAAGUUCACCUUUGGAUCAGGAACCACAGUAACUGUGAGAGCAAGUAAGUAAAAAGGAAGAAACAAGAAUAGCUUUAAAACAAAAUGGUGGGUACAAUUACAAGCAAUCCCGCCUGGGGAGCACAGUGGUCAGUAAUGAAAUUCGAAAAAGCUUUCCCAGUUUGCAUUAGGACAAAACCUGCCUGCCUCACAGUCACCCUCACAUCCUCCUCCAUCCCAAAUGGCUCUCCUCCUCAGGAGCACCUUCACAAGGAUAAAUGUGUCGAGAGCAUUGGCUUUAACGUCAGAUGAAAACCAAGCUAGCUAUCUGGAAUUCUCUCAGAUUCCUAAAAAAAAUAAGAGAGGAUGUCAGUGGGCUGUAUUAAGAUGAGAUAUAACUCUUUUCAAAUAUUUGAAGGACUGCCAUUUAGACAAGGGAAGGGGUGAGGACAGGAGGCAAAAUCAAAACCAGUGGAUGAAAGAUGUGUCUCGGCCUUCUGUGGAACCUUUCUGAACAAGGCCUGCAGUGGAAAGGCUGCUUUGUGAAGUGUGCGACCCUUCUUCCUUGCAGACCUUGUCCUGUAGCUGACUAUCUGAUGUUGUAGAAGGGGUUUCUGUGCCAUUUUAGAUAUUGGACUGAAUCAUCUCUGGGCUCCCUUUCAACUCUAAGUGCUAAGAUCUCAUGACUCCAGCCUAGAGGAUGAAAAGGUGAGCUCAGACGUGUUUCUUCUAUUUUUAUUAUUUUGAUAGUCAAAGAAAUAUGUCAUUGAAUUAUUCAUGAGCUAAAGCCUAUUUGGGCUUUUUAUACCUAAGAUAUGGUGGGAUAUGAUUUCCCAGAGCCGUAAAUGGGAAAAUAACGUGUGAUAUCAGGAAGGAAAAAAGAGGAAAAGAGAAUGCCUGGAGGGACAACCAGAGGUCGAAGGAGGGGAAUGGGGUGAUUCUGCAAAGGACUGCAAAGGACAGUCUAUCAGAGUUUUCACAAGUUCAGCUUUGGAAAAGGAUCCAAACACAAUGACAAUCCAACUAAGUGAACUGUCUUUUAUACGGGGAAAUAGGGCCCGGGAAGCCAAGUUCCUUCCAAUUUAAACACUCUCAAAAGGACGUAUAAUUGCUUUCUGAUGGGAGGGUGCCUCUGCAGGUGGGAAUGCUAUUGUUAGCACAGACCAUUUGUGCCCCGAAAGAUAGCCUCUGCGAUCUGACUGUCCCACUCAGACUGUCGACUGCCCAAGGAAAGACUUAAAGCCGCUUAAAGAGGAUGGAGGUGGAUUUUCAACCCUGGCCCCCAGGGCAGGAGAGAGAGGGAUGGGGAACAUUAGGAGCAGGUUCAUGUAAAGGGGGCCGGCACUGUGUCGAUAGAGGCUCAAGUCUGGGGAAGUUCUACUUUGGAAGAGGAACCCGGCUAACUGUACAGCCUGGUGAGUGUGUUGUUAUCUACUCCAGGGAAACAUUUCUAUGAAGAAACUGAAAAGGGAGAUGAAUGAAUGCCCUUAGUUCUAAAACUAAGGGAAUAUGUGUAUUACUGUUCCUGGAGGACACUCCUUCCUAGGUAGACUGGGAUGCGGAAGCAGAAGAAAGAUCAGGACCACCUAGGAUCCCUUUCAGGAGCCCAAGACUCUGAGAGGAGGCUGUGCUUGUCCCCACUAAAGGCAAAGGAGAAGGGCGUUCCCACUGGAGUGUGUGAGGCAUCCCAGAACCCCCACUCUAGUCCACCCCCAACACUUGGCUGGACGUGCCAGACUGAGGUACAGGGUUCCCAGGGUUAUUUCUCUGGAGUCCAGAAGCCCUAUCAAUUUCUUUCUUAUCAUGAAUGACCUCUCCAUCGUAUUCUGUCAACUUUCCCCAGGAAGCCGCCUACCUCUUCCUUAGUAGAAGCCUCCGCAUUGAAUGGGCUCUAGAAUAACUGGAGGGAAUUAGGGUCUGCAACUUGGAGCAAGGAAAGAAAAGCUGAUCACAGUGUACAGCAACUCGGAGGGCCUGAGUAGAUCCAAGACUAAAUAUCCUUCCUCUCUUAGGGGUCUUCCCAGGGCAUUAAAUUGAAUAUAAAGAGGCUCAUAGUGUGCAAGCCUGUGUAUGGGUGGGUUCAUUAAGCUGUAUGUAUGAACAGCCUGAUCCCAAAAGUCUUAUAGAGCUUGUAGGACUUCCUGUUCUCAGGUUCCUUUGUGGGUUACAGAUGGCCAAAUGGGCCCCUGAGUGAACUUUUGUUGACAGCUAUUAUUCUCACUCACAGAUCCAGGUCCAAACAGCCAAAGCAGAGAAGUAAGUUAAUAUAUGAAAGAAUGAGACCCAAAUAUGUGCCACAGACAAGCAUUUCAGCUCUACAAAGAAAGCACAGUGCUGGGAGCCAGGAUUACCCGAACCAUCACAAGCCCUCCACUUUGCCCCAGCCACAGGACAGGGGUCAGGCAUCUAAAGAGUGUGAUUUCUUUGGUCCCUGUGGUUUUUGCUGGGCCUCAAAUCACUGUGUGACCACCACUGCAGGGAGCAAGCUAACCUUUGGAGAAGGAACCAGGGUGACAGUCAAGCUGAGUGAGUACCGGUACUUGAGCCACAAUUCUGUUUCCAACACUGAAGCAGAAACCUAAUCAUCAAUUUUAGAUUAAGUGUGCUAUGUGGGCCCACAUUAAUCCAUCUCAAACUUGCCUUAAAAUUGUGUUGUGUUGCUCUUAUGCAUAAGCAUAUAGGGAUGCACAAAUUCAGUGUGGAGAAAAAUAGCACUAUAUUGAUAUUUUCUAGGAUCUGUCUUCUUAAGAAAAGGAAAAUAGUUAAGGCCCUUUCCUUAUUUCUUCACAUCUUUGUCCCACAACGUAGAAGAAAAACGAAAGCAAUGAUUCUCUCGAUUCAGAGUGGUUAAAGGAUUUGAACGUGCUCACAAUAGCAGGGCCAGCACCCACAUGUUCAAAGGUGCAAUAUAUUGCUGUCUGUGCCAGGCUGCACCCUCUGUAACCAUCGCUCUGAUUUAUCUCCUCUGGCCCUCAUUUUUCCCAAUUAAUGCAACUGAAAUAUUCGUAACUCUUAUCUCCUGGCUCACAGAAAGCAUGUGAGGAUUAAAAGGACAUUACUCUGAAAAAGUUGAGCUGGAGGUUUAUUUAGAGAGGUUCUGUUUUGUUUUGGUUUUUUCUAAGGAAGAAAAUGGAUAUUGUUUUUGUUGUUGAUGAUACUGCCUUUUUCAUUAGGGAAGAGAAAAAAGAAGGGAGAGAUCCUUGAAAGCCAUGGUGAUAUGAUCAAUACAUGAACACGUACAAAUAAAUCAUUAAGGCCUUCAACUCAGGGCCAAAAGACAGUGGAUCUGGCUCAGUCACUCACCAGCCAUGUACCCAUGGGAAGCCCUGUAAGCCUCAGUUCAUCUACGACGUAAAGAUUAUGAUUCUAGCUCUGCCUAGCUCAAAGGAUUUUGUAAGAAUCAAGAGAGAUAAUGUAUGUGAAAUCUCUUUGAAAAGUAUGGGCAGUCAGAUGAUUCAUGAAUUUUUUGAGAGCCAGAUUUUAUGAAAAACUCCAUUUGAGGGUAAGCUUGGAAAUCAAAAAGCUUCAUGGAUCUUGGCUCUGGCAGAGAAAGGGUUGAACGUAGAUAUAAGGAGAACCUUUCUAGCCAUGAGAAACCAGAACAUAAGAAUUGGUAACUGAGACUGUCCCUGGAGACCAUCAAGACCUAAGAUCACUUGGGAGAGAAAUGAGUGAGGCUGUGAGCUUGUAGGAAAUGGUUUCGGGGGUUUCCUACCAUGCCGAAGAAUGUACGACUUUAAGACUUUUCUUGAAUUCACCUAAAUAUGUGUUUAGUGUUGAACUGGGUGUCAACCAAGUGAGGGAACCUGGGAGAAUUCCUGUGCUUGUAAAUGAAGUUCACUUUGGUUUUUGUGGUGAAAUAGAUCACUGUGGGGUUUUCAAGUGGCCAGAAGUUGGUUUUUGGAAGUGGGACCAUGCUAAAGGUGAAUCUUAGUAAGUAUUGAAUUUUGAAUUCUAUUAGUUACUGAGACAUGUAACAGACUUUUUAUAAAUCUAAGGGGACUUCCCAAUGUUUUCAGUUUAUUCAGAUUUAGUGGAGAACAGAGUUCUUCCCAUGUCUUCCCCAUCCUAACUGCAAGAGCUCAGUUUGUUAGGUAAUGGUUUGCAUUGUUUGACAGUUUAAUAGAGAACCAGAAUGGCAGAAGUCUCCCAUUCAGUGAUCAGCUCCAUCAGAGAAGUCAUCUGAGAAACACUCUGAGAGGCUAAUAUCUUCUCUUCCAGUGGGCCUCCUCUUACAACCUCAAUGCACUCAACAACCAUUGCCACAGUUCCCAAUUCCUAUAAUGUCCCAAAGUCACUUUCAACGAAACUCAGUCUCACUUUAUCUUUCCUAAGCAGAAACUUAUGAGGUGGAACUGUAUCUAGUACUUCAACAGAGAGAAGGCAUGAUCUAGGCAUCCACGGCCAUCCUUGACACUAUGUGAUUUGGAACCAGGCUUUGAUCUUUCAGGCCCUCAAAUUGCUGAUCUAGAAAUGGAGGUGACGAUUCAUGCUUGGAUCUCACUUCAGACAUCACCUUCUCAGAGAGACCUUUCCUGCCUAAUCCAUCCAACAAGCCACCAAACACAGACAGCGCCUGGUUCUCCAUCCCAUUAUCCAGCCUAAUCUGUUCCUGCGCUUUCGUCACCUGCCAUUGUAUUAUCUACGGAUUGGCUUCUGUGUGCCUCCUUCUCGACUAUAAGCGCCGCAGGGACAGGGACAGCGUCCCAGCGGCUUUCAGCUGUAUCCUAGCACCUAGCACAGGCCUUACAAUGGAGGUGUUGGGUGAAGAGUUGUUAAGUGAGCGCAGGACCCACCACAUCUACCUUCCUUCUCACAAAGUAACAGAGCUUUACUGUUGCAUUCCAAAACCCUGAGAGCUCACUGAAUUCCUUGCCGAAGGCAAGGACAGAAUACAAGUGUCCCUUGUUAGGUGAGUGAGCAGGUACUCAAGGUAUUUGCAGCACCUUGUUUCACUGUGCCUACCGGGCAGGAAAUGCACUGGUCUUUGGGAAAGGAACCACCAUAUCAGUGCAUCCCAGUAAGUACCUGGUUAUUAUUGAUCAUAACACCUGAACUUAUCCUGCAGACUUAUUCUGCAGGGGACUAAAUGUUUCAUUCUUUUUUUCUAAAUGUGUCCCUGUGUGUUUCUGUGUAUCUUCUUUUUAAAUAUUUAUUUAUAAGACUGUUCCAGGUCUUAGUAGUGGUAUGCAAACGCUUAGUUGCAGCAUGUGGGAUCUAGUUACCUGACCAGGGAUCGAACCACGGCACCCUACCUUGGGAGUGUAGAGCCUUAGCCACUGGACCACCAGGGAAGUCCCUAUCUCCUCAUUCUUCAACGAUUGGGGUUUGAUGAUGAAAGACAUUAAAACAAAAUGAAAAACGUGUACUAUCCCCCAUGUCCAACCAUACCUACUACAUGCUCACGAAUUUUUUUUAAAUUAACUAAAGUGAGUGAUAAAAGAAAGAUAGAUUACCUACAGGGAUGGGAGCAAUUUUCUGACCACUGGUAAAGGGAGCUUGUGUACAGGGGUUGUUGCCUAAGUAAACAUGGGGACAAGAGCUGAUAUCCUUUGGCUGAUAAAACAAUAUGACUUGGUGAAAUUUUGCAAAUCUUUCUGAAGGAAAUAUGUCAGAGUUGUCCAGAAACUAUCACUUGGACUCUUCUCAGGCUUUCCCCUCCAUCAGUUCUAUUGUGCUCUGAAAAAAGAAGCUUUCAGAGGCUUAACUCCAUGGCUUAGCCUUUAUUUCAAUAAUAAAAAGGGAGGAAAUCCCAGCCAGAGUUCCCAGGAAGGAGGACAGAUACACGCUAAUCACACUAAUCUAUUAUCAAGGUAGCUCAGGAAUUAUUGUCAGGCAGCACGGUGCUGUGAUUUAUAACACAUUCAUCUUUGCAAGUGGGACAAGAUUCUCAGUAAAACCCAGUAAGUAGACAAUAUGUCACUAAAGUAGGAGGCUUAAUGUGGCCGUUGAACUUACUGCAGUAUUUGUAGGGCCUGAGCAUCAAGAAAUGAAUGGUUUAUGUGGACUAAAAUGCAUUCUGAUGUAGAAAGAAAUGAUAAAGAGGCUAGAAAGAUCUAACGGUGGAGCAAAAAUAGUCAUGUCGAUGAACCAAAAACAACAGACUGAAACAGUUCAGUCUGAGAGUGGAUUAUAAAGAAAAAGGCAAAGUUUGGCUAAACACUGCUAGUCCUUCUAAACCUGGCUAGAUCAGUGCAUCUUAGCCACAAUUUCUUCACCUGUAAAAUGAAAAUACUUCAUCUCACCUCAGAAGUUUUUUUAAAAAUAAAAUAAGUUAAUGGAUAUGAAACUACUUUUAUAAACUAGCAAAUGCUAUGUACAUGUAAAAUACUAUGAUUGUUUUCAGAUCAAAAAGAAAAAGCUAGGAUGGCUAAUAUAAUUCUACAUAGAGAAUAUGCAGGUUCUUAGUAAAAGAGCUAUUUUCAUGUUGAUCUGUAGCCAUAGAUAUUGGUGAAAACCACUUUCUCUUCUACUGAAGUACAGACACUUAAAUGUCACCCACAUGAGAAUGGCAGAAAGGAAGCCAUUCUGUAUAGGCCUGCAUUGCAGCGUGAAUCCUAAAGGUUGCCUUUGGAACUGGAAGGAUACUUCAAGUCACCCUAAGUAAAUCUAAAUUCCUAAGCAUUUCUCCUUUCUUGUGUUGUCAUCUCACAGAUUGUAACAUUUGGAGCACACAAUGGGGAUGUAAUAAGCCUUUUCUGGCCAUUUUUGAAAGAUUUAAAUAAAGAUAUUUAGAAAGAUCCCUCAUGCAACCCUUAAUGUUCUAAUAGUUUUGUCUCAUCCAAGUUGUGUUCUUUCUUAAUAGAAAAGAAAGCCAAGACAUUGCCCAUGAGGCCAACUGAAACAGUAAAUUUGCAGAGAAUAAGAACCAAAGAGAAGGCAAGUGAUUAAAAAAAAAAAAAAAAAAAAAACCUGAACCAGAAUGGAUGCCCUUUAAUCAGAGGCAUGCCUAACUUUGGGGACAGAACAGAACUCAAGUAGGUAACCAAGGUGCCACUGAGUCACUAAGUCUGCAAGAUAAGGAGGUAGGAGCAGUAAGUUGUCACUCUGUGAUCUGGAUGUUAUUCCAUGAAGUUUAAGAUUGAUUGAAGUUAAAAUUGGGAGAGACACUAUGGCAGGAAUUUAAAGUUUGAUAAGUGUAAUGAAGACAAAAGAGCUAGAUACAUCUGCUGGAUAAAUAGAGUUGAAAAUCACAAGUUGGAUGGCGAUAGACACAGGGCUGUGAGUAGAUGAAGGCUUCAUUUUAAGUGUUGCACAAUAAAUGCUCAUAUUUGAGUCGAAUGGCCUGUGUUAUGCAGAAUGUCAAAAAAAAGUUAAGAUGAAGGGGCUGUAUCUCUCAGUCUUGGGUAUGAGAAGAUGUGUGGGCUUACAGGUAUUUUUGACUGACUAAGAAACACUGUGGGAAGGGAGGAGGCUAUACAUGGACCUUCGGAAGCGGGACUAGACUGCUGGUCAGGCCUGGUGAGUAGAGUAUCAGAGGAACAGCAGGAAGGCUGAUGAAAAUGUUUUCAUGUCCCAGGAAACGACUGUAUGAUAGAGGAUGAGCUGGAGUUUGGGGAUCACUGAUACUAGUAUUCUAACAUCUGGUUCUGGCAAGAGGAUUAACUGCAACACAGCUGCAGUCUCAUUCUCUUAGAAACAAAAAGGAGAGUCCUUCUCUCAUCGCUCCUCCUAACAUGUAUCUGUCGUGCACUAAAAAGUCUCACGCUUCCAGGGUACUUGUAUAUCAGGACUGGUUCCACGUGCUCAGCCCCACAUCAUCUGUUCUUCCUUGAUAAAGUAAGGAUAAUAGUAUCAAGUUCAUGGCAUAGUUAUGGCCCGAAUAAGGCAAGGUUAUACAGAGAGGUUGUUAACCCACUUGGCACAUAAUAGAUUCUAGUGCUGGUCCUCUUUCCCUUCCUGAGUAGGUCAGAGGUUGGAGCCCAACACUACAGGCUAUUUUGGUAUGGGGCUUUGCUACAGUGUGAAUUCAGGAUACAACACACUUACUUUUGGAAAGGGCACGGUGCUUCUUGUCUUUCCAGGUAAAUGUUGACCCAACCCCACUCCUCUUUUCUCGUUUUCUGGUUUAAGGCUUCUACACGUGAUUACUGUGUUUUACCCUUGUGACAUUGUCCUUGUUUUAUCAGUUGACCUAUGAUUUCAAGGUUGAGCCUUCGUGGAAGACUUUGGAAAAGGAAAGUAACCAACAGAAGAGUUGGAUUAGUAGAAUUAGUUGAAUUAGUAGAACUAAUUCACUAGAUCAGGAUGGAAUAGAGACUAAUACUCUAGGUGAUUAAGACAAACCUGGGUUUCCCCAGAAAUAGCUUGGCUUCUUGCUUUAAGGCUAGCCUGCGGUAUUUCCCCUGGUACCCCUCCCUUUCCUCUUCCCUCUGUAUCCCGUAUCUAGCCAUGGGAUGCUGGACAGUCUGUGACACAUACAGCUACAGAACUCUUUCAUUAGUGAGAAGAUCUGCCUAUUAAAACUGAAAGAUCCUUAAGAGCAGAGGCUCCUGCUAUAUACCAAGAAGUAUCCAACAUGGUCCUUUUACAAAGAAAGUGCUUAUUUAAUUGAAAUCAAAUACCCAGAGAAAUCAAGUUUCCAGGCCACAGAGAAGAAGAGAAUACAGUAAGUGACACAGUACGUACCAGUAUGUGGUAGAGAGGGGAAAAUACUAGAUUGAGAGUCAAACAGACUCAUGUCUUGGUCUCUGCUGCCAGCUAGCAGUGAAACCUGGAGCAGAUCUCUUGCCUCUGGACCUCAGUUUUCUCAUCCAAAAAUGGGAGAGUAGGUCCGGAUGGCCUCUCUGGCCCCUUGGCACCAGCAGCCCAUGAAUUAAUUCUUCUUGGGCUGCGGGGAGUUUUUUUCUCAUAUGAGUAAGUCAAAUAGCUAUAAUAAGCCUAAAACAUUUUCUAACUCAUCAGGUAAAUCGAGAAAAGGGGUGACGUGACAGAGGGAGUUUAUUGUGAGGCAUCAGACACUGUGGGAAUUGGGGAGGAGGAAGCAAACUCACCUUUGGGAAAGGCACCCACCUAAGAGUGAAGCUGGGUAAGUGUGCAAUUCUAUGGUAAAUGCAAAAUGUAUUCCAAUGACAGUGACUGGAAGUUUCUCAAGGAGACGUCACUUUUGUCAUUUGUAUCUUAUUUAGAAUGAACCACAAUCUAGUGCUGAAGCAUUAAGAAUUGUGGCACUCAGAUAAAUUAGUGAAAAUACUCAAACACUGUAUGAGCAUCCUUUCCUUAUGGUGAAAUUUAGCAAACUAUUAAGACUUGUCCCGAGAUGUGAGGCUGACAAACCUGGGCUUCUCCAGAAAUAGCUUGACUUCCUGCUUAAAGACUAGCCUGUUUUAAAGAAAAGCCUGGUGUCUAGCCUGUUCCAAGCCCUGCUAUAGGGUUCCAUUUGUAUAGAGUUGGCCCAGUCAUGGGGUACCAUUUUGUAUAGAGUUAUGUCAGAGUGUGAACACAGGUUAUCAGAAAUUCAUAUUUGGAACUGGCACCCAACUUGUGAUCAACCCAAGUAAGUCAGAUCUCCAGAAAUGUGUAACCUCACUUCGAGUAUUGGGUUUACAUGUAUCUAUGUAGCAUUUGCUCUUGUCUAAACAUAAUAUGAUGAUGAUAAUAAUUAAAUCAUUAUUAUUGUCAUUUCAUUAUUAUUAUUAUUACCACUACUGUUUUGCUAUUAUUAAUCAGAACAAUGCUGCUAACUUUGACUUUACUUUUCUGCCACGUUAUUCAUUUUACCCUUUAAGGAGAAUCAGUGGGAAGGUAACAGGAGGAAAACAUCUGUUUCCUUUGGGAUCAAGUACUUGUUCAUUCCAUUGCCCCCUCUCUACUGAGGGUCCAUAUUAACCUCACAAUAUUUUGGUUUCUAUGCUGCCUCCCGAUUACCUCUCUGAGAAAUGCUUCCUUAGCUUUUCCCUGCCUAAGCACUUAUAUUUUGCAGCUCAUAUUUACCCAGAGUAUACUUAGCUUUUAACCUCUCCCUAAACUGGCCUUCUUGUCCCAAUAAUUAUGCACAGUAAAACUUAGUUUGCCUCAGUAGGUGAUGACCAAGCAUCAUCAACAAGCCGGGGGCCAUAUGUGAUUUAAAAAGAAACAAACCAAGAAAAGAAGUGCAAGAUGUGGUUCUUGCUCUCGACAACUUCCAGUCUUGUCAGAAAAACAAAACACCCAUCUAUUAAAAGUCUAUCAAUAAUUUAUAUGUGGGCACGCCAAGCAGCGUGCUGUGUGCGGUCAUGCACAGGACCUGGGGCCCCACUGGCUGGAAAUAGGACCGUGGAUAGCCCACAUUCCCUGGCAGAGAGCAAGCAAGAUUUCACCCCUGUGUUUCUGGAAAAGGACCUGAGACUGUUAUCUGCUGAGAUGCUUGACUUUCUUGACAACCCUUGACAGAAAGCAGCCUGAGGUGAGGACAGAAACAGUAGAAGCAGGAAUGAGUCAGGCAUGAGUCACCAGGAGUCUUGCUCAGCCCCAAGGAGGAUGCGGUGACUCUGAGUCUCACCGAAGCAUGUUUUCAGCGUGUGCCCCAACAUGGCUUACUGAAAACACUCUUGCUCCCACUCUUUCUGGCAAAGUGAAACAUUGCAAACACUUCUGCAAAUGUCCCCAAGACGAUGGUGCCUUCCUCUCAGGAAGGGCAGCUGAGGUGGGAAAUGCCCGCUGCUGCCUGGUACCUUCAGAAACAUGCACACCCACCCGGCCGAGGUAGGAGACAAGUUUUUCACCAAGUGUUGCAAAGGCUCUGCUUCCCCACUACCCCACGCAGGAGAAGUAGCCAGAGGCUGUUUGCUGAUGGCUGUGAUGAGGAAAAUGGAGGUGCUGGGUAGCAAUGGGGCUGAAGCUGCUACAGCCAUUAGGGAAUCUCCCUCCAGUGCUCAGAGCACCCAUCCCAGGAAAAACGUUAGGGUCAGCCUUCCCGGGUUCCCAGCAUUUAGAGCUCCUGGGAAGUAUGUUUGUCCUCCUUGAGAGGUUGGGCAAAGCCAGGAUGUUUUUGUAAUGCACUUACCCAGAGUGUGAUUAUGGGAACAGAGUCACUUUUGGAAACGGGACUCAAGUGCUGGUCACACCAAGUAAGUGAGCUGCGAUCCUCCUGGGCACACGACCCUCUCCCCAACCCAUCAACUUUCCUACCCCAUAGGUGCUGGACAACUUAUGUUCAUGGGAGUAGGAAGGGCAUGUCCUCCAUCAAUGCCACACCUAACAUUCUUAGAAGGUCGCUUCUAAAAACCUUUGUGUCUAACCUUUAUGUGCCCCUUGUUGCUUUCUCUCAGCAUCUCCACUGACAAUAUAAUAUAAAAUCUCCUUUGCCUCCAUUUUGGGAGCACUUGUGUUUGACGAAAGAGUAACAGAGUCAGACUUUUGCCUGUGGCCCCAGGCAAGCAGGCAGUGCUGGUGGUGCUGCUGCUACAAGGGAGUUGCUGCCUUGCUUCUCCUCUGACAGGAGCAUGUGCAUUCUCCUAAGUAAAGGAAGUGUGGGGCUCUUCCAGUCCCAUCACUGCCCUAGGUUUAGGGGCCCUGGACAACUGUGGGAGAUUCCUGCAACUCUGGGCAUGUCAGCUAGUGUUUCCCUGGAUUGUUGCCCUAACCACUGGGGCAACAGGUAGAGGGAGGUCAUGUGAGAUGGGUUUUAGCAAGGGCUUUCCUUGCUGUGUGUAUCAAGACGAAACUAUGGACUUAUACUUGGAAGAGGGACCAAGCUUGUUGUUCACCCACGUGAGUAUUAUAGAAACAGUCAAGGGAUAUUCUGUAGACAGAGGACACACGUUGGAAGGAUACUGCAAUAAUGAGGGAGUCUGUGAUUGGUCUGCUCCAUCGUUAGAGAGCCCAUUGUUGUCUUGGAGUAACCUACCAUUGUGUCAGGUCUAAUGAAAUGAUUGAGGUUGUGCUGGACAAGGGUUUUGCAUGGUGUGUGCAGAGGACAAAUCCCUGAGGACUGAGGAAAAAGGCUUCACUCUUGCUUAGGUUUCUGAAGCAGAACUAUCUUCUUGGCAGCCAAGGGGCCCAUCUUACCCCUCAACUCUGUGGCUGAGAAUCUCUUACCACGUUGUCUUGGAUCCAUGAGAUAUCUGUCCCAGGAAAGAGCAUCCCAGUCAGAAUGUUGAGGCACCCUAUGGUGUUGGAAAGGGCGAUGGAACAGGGACAGGUCUCCUCUGGCUGCAAAAAGCCUCAUUCCUCCCUCGGUGGAAAUCAUUUCUGGGAACCGUUAGAUUAUUAGCUACUAUUUACUGAAUGUCUGACAUGUGCCGGUGACUACAUCCUGUCCUCCAUAGAAUUUCUCAUUCAAUGCUCGCAGCCAUCUUAAUGCUAGGUAGCUAGUUUUAGGCCCAUUUUACAGAUGAAGAAACAGAGGCUUGAGACAAAUAACUUGCCCAACCCAACAUCAUACAGCUAGGAAUGACAAAGCUAGAAUUUAACUCUGAUCUAUUUGACUCCAGGGCCUUACUGUGAACCAUCCCACCACGCUGCUACCACUGUCCCUCCUGCAUUCUGUGAAGGAAGAUUACAGACCUCAAAGGCUACUGGUCUGGCCCCUGGUUUGCCCAACCCAAGCUUUGUUGCCAUGGCAACCAUGGCAGCCUUGGUCCAGGAUUCAUCAUUUCUGAAGAGAUGAGUAAAGUCGUUGAACUGGGUUGGCAGAAUGCAGGUAUGGCAGGGAGAGGAGUAGAAACCUAAGGGGACUGGUUAUUGGGCAUAAAGUAACACAGAAAGAAAUUUAUCAUCACAACCUUGAAACAGGCUGUUUAAAAGCUCUGUUCCCAAGAGUGAAGGCUGUAAAUAUGGGGGAGGGGAGGGGGGAGGGCGGCCACCCUCAGAGAGCAGUGUUUGUACUGCACUGUGGCAGGGUGUGGGCCCAGGCGGCAGAGCACUCACUUUGGGGGUGGAGCAAGACUCCGCAGACAUCCAAGUGAGUGCCCAGCCUUAGACUCCAGCCAAAAGCACAGAAAGUCCCUAUUCUGCUUUCUUGGAUGUUGAGUCUGCACUUCCCAAACUAAUUUCUAAUGCUUCUUCAUGAGGUUUGAAUGUUUUGAAAUUUGAAUUCCCAGCCACAAGCUCAACAGUGGUUUAUUUUCUAAACGUAGUCAUUGCCCGUGGGGCCUGGCCUUUUCAUCGUUACAGAGGUAGACUCUUUUGCUAUUUCUAGAUUCCUUUGAGACAAAAGACCUUUAUUGGAAAAGAAAUCAUGACUGAUUAUGCCAAAAAAUUUAUUUUUGUUACCAUUUAAUCUUCAUGAAAGGUGAUAAGUUAAAUUUCUCAAAGAUCAUGGGCAAGGGAUAUACUCUCACAAAACUCCAUGUCUAAUCAAGGGACAUGGGAAGGACUUAAGGCCUAAAUAAUGCAAUAAAAAUAUUGAGUUUAGAAAAUGGACCCAUACAGAACUUAAAAGAUAAAUGAAACAGUCUUAAUAAAAGAAGAGAGCAGGAUUGCAUCUAAAAUGAAUUAAAAUAUUCAGAGGGCUUUCAUUCAACAAAUAUUUAGCAAAUACCUAUUAUUGGGUUGACCAAAAGGCUCAUUCAAUGCAGGAGACAUAAGAGACGUGGGUUCUAUCCUGGGUUAGGAAGAUCCCCUGGAGUAGAAAAUGGCAACCUGCUCCAGUAUUCUUGCCUGGAAAAUCCCAUGGACAGAGGACCCUGGUGGGCUACAGUCCAUGGGGUCAAAAAAGGGUUAGACACAACUGAGCAACUGAGCACACACAAAAGGCCCAUUUGGGUUUUUCCAUAAAGAUCUCACAGAAAAACCUGAACAAAUUUUUUGGCCAACCCAAUAUAUUCUAAGCACUAUAUAGAAGAAAGGAGGGAGGAAGGGAAGGAUAGAAGGGAGAGAAGGAAGAAAGGAAAGGUCUCUGUCAUCCAGUAUCUCCCCAUGGAUAGACAUCCAGACAAACAGACAGUUAAAGACAGUGUCACUACGCUGCAGUGGAAGUACACACAGGUUGCGAUGGAAUCGCAGAAAGAAAGGCAUCCUGACCUCCUAUCCUAGCUGCUUGGUACUUUCAUCCAUCCUGCACGGCACCAUAAGCUCUGUGAGGGUAAGACCCGCUCUCCUUCAUCCUUAAACCACCACACCCCAGCACCAUGCCUGACACAUAGGCAUCACCAAACAAAUGACUGUGGACAAAUGCCUUUAGCUAGAGAGUUGGGGAGGACUUCAGGACAGAGGCAGUAACUGCUUAGAACCUAUUGGUUUAGACGGCAGCAAGUAUUCUCCAGCAGAGUUGCUAAAUUACAAAACCAAGAGAUUACAGAAUCCAUCUGAACGCGCAUGGGUGGGUGAGAGCCCACUUCUCGAGGGAAAACUUCCUCCAUACUUGUCCAUUCAUUUGUGCACUCACCGAAGCAUCUUCCCUGCCCUGGGUCAGUUCAGGUUGCCUUUAGAAAGCCUGAAAGCCCAUCAGAUUUCUGAAGAACCAGAGUUCAGAGGUAUAAGAAUUGUACCACCCUGCUAGGGAAGUAGCACAAGUGGAAAAUCGUAUGAUAGCAAAAAGGAAAAUGGUCUAAUGAUAAAUACUUGAAGUAUAUGUCUCUACUUGAGACGCCACCCAGGAUGGAAAUUUUUCUCCAUUAGGGCCAGAAUCUCCUUUGAAGCAGGUAGCUCUAAGAUCUGUAGCAAGGUGUGUGGAAAGAAAACCAACAAAUUCACAUUUGGGCAAGGCUUUCAAGUUGCCAUUGUUCCCAGUAGGUAAGCCCUGCAAAGUAUUGGGGUGAUGUGGUCUUGCAUGAUGAGUGUGUUCAUAUCUGCCCUCGAGCCAUUCCUGACAGUGGCAAGAAAAUUUGCUACAUAGCUGACUACUGUUCAGCAAUUGCCCGAAUAGAAUGAAGCUGUUUCAUAAUGAUUAGAAAGAAAUAAUCAGCAUCAAUGAGACCCCUAAUUGUGUCCAUAGGAGUUGGUAGGACAAACAGACUAAGAACACGAAAGCUUAAGGAUAAUAUUAGGCUGAAAUUUAGGAUGAAUUUUAAAUUCUUUGAACUAGAAAAGGGACUUCCGGGGAAUGAAUAUCUAAACCUGUACAUGUUCCACAGAGGUUAAUGGAUGUUUUAAGAAACAAAACAUUCUCGGAUCAAAUAAGUUUAAGAAGCUCUAAAUUUCUUUAUUGUAAGACCUCUCAGAGCCUUUAAACUGCUAAUAUGUGUUGUCAGGCUUCAGGACUGAAAAUAGAGUAUACAGCAUUUUCCACACUUCUUUGAGCUUAGAAUCUUUUUUGCAGAAAAAUUUAGGACUAGAGUUCUGUGAAAUUCUCACUGAAAAGGACUUGUCUAAACCACUCUCAAACUGGAGAUUUUUUUUUGUCCCCAUAUGAACAUUAAUCCUAACCUUAGAACUUUCCAGAGAACUAGAUUCUUGGGCCCCAUCUGCAACUCCCUCCUGAUUCUCACAACCUUCACAAUUAAGCGGUCCUCCUUGUGCACUUUAUGGGACUAUUCCUAUGGCAAUAUUAGUUUGUGUCUGCCUUCAAGGAGUAACGGAACCACUUUCUAACACGAGCGCUCUAGUAGGCCUCCCUUGCUUGAUUAAGUUGCACUCGAGGUUUUCCAUCUAUUUCCAGUGCUGUGAAUGUUCGCUCAAGAUUCAUUUCCCAAUUAAUCUCUGGGUUUUCUCCAGACUCUUUCAGUUUUCUCUCCUCACUUUCACUGUGGAAUCUAGAAUGGGCAUCCACCCUCCAGAAAGAGCCUGACCUGCUGAAGGCUGGCUGGGAGAGAAAGGUGUAUAAGGUUGUUAUACAGAAAGCUCAGGAAUUAGGACUCGGUGAGCCGGACUUUUCUCUUGUGCUAGAAAGGGGGAUUUUGAAGGAGCCUGUGAAACAGACACAGGAGUCAUUGCUAACCCUGCCAGGCGCUAGAGUUCUUGUAAAGCAUCCUCCUAGUGGGUGUCAUCUGGUGGCUACAAUAAGCUGACCUUUGGACCCGGGACCAGGCUGACUGUACACGCACGUGAGUAUGACGGUGUGAAUGACCGAGGCAGAGUGACUGACCUUUUGUCUGUGAGAAAACCGGCACUGAUUUAUGGCAAGCUUGAGGAUAUGUGAAGCACUCGUUUCCAUUUCUACAAACUCUCUGGGAACUUGAAAUGUUCCCAUUUCUCAUGUUAAAGAUAGAAGUGCCAAGAGCCAGCUGGGUAAAUGAAAAUCUGAGCAGAACAAUUUACGGAAACAUAAAAAGAGUUGCAGAUACUUGGUGCUUUCAAGUGAAACGGAUCAUAUCAGCACCAGAUAAUCUGAGCAUUCAGGAAAUUAGCUAAAUGCUCUUGGGGGAAAGAGAUGAGUUAAUGGUAAACACAAAUUCUCUUUUAUUGCAGCAGGUAGCUAAAUUCCCUGGAUGGACUAACGACCGUAGUGUGGGGAUAGCUGCUCACAGAAUCUUCCUCUCUGAGAUUGAGUAGAAUUUUGAACUGCUCCCCGGGUAAAAAUGACCCAGACCCCUAUGUGAAUGGCAAAUAUGACAAGGUAUGGAGGCAGGAUGAUGUAGGAUUCACAGCAUAGCUUAGAAGGCUAGCAGCCCUUGGGGGGAGUCUGGAUUUGUCCUCUCCAGCUAAUUAAGUCUUCACUUUCUCAACAGAAAAAUAAAAAUCACCACAUCAUAAUAUGAGAUAAUGCUCGGCAUAUAGCAAGUAAUCAAUAAAAGGCAGCUUUUCUAAAUAAUAUUAAUUAUCAUCAUCAUCAUGAAGGCUUUGUUAUUCUAAAGCUUCAUUAUUGUAAAGGGAAAGGGGAACAAUUUCUAUGGGAAAUAGGAAACCUAAGAAACAAAAGCCAGGGACCCUUCUCAGAUGGUGCCCUCAGAACCUGGUAGGUUCCAGCAGGUUAAUGUCAGGACAGUUAUUGCAAAGACCUUACCCUCGGUGGAGAUUCAGCACUGAUAAGUUAAACUUUGGAGCAGGGACCAGACUGAGUGUCCAACCAAGUAAGUAAUGCGGGGCAAAGGUGGCCACUGACAGCUAAUUCUUCUUUGUCUGAGAUGCCCAGUUGAGCCCGGGUGCUUUCUUCUGUUGAAUCCCAAAAGGUUCUUUCCACCCAUCCCAGAACAUCCUCUCAUCCUGUACUCAAUGCUCAGGAAACACCCUUGGGCCAGAACCUGAAACAUCAUGAGUCAGAUGAUGGGCAAGGAGUCCUGGACCUUUUCACAAGAGGAUCCAAGACACUGUUGUCCUGAGCAGAGGAGGUCGUCUACUAAAUUCUGUGUUUAUGGAAAUCAGAACCUCCAAUCCAGGGCACUAUAGCAGGAUGGGGCAGGAAGAAAAGGAUUAAGAGACAAAGACUCAACACUGAACAGCAGAAGGUCUAACUCUAAAGAGUGUGAUCCUCUGUCCCCUCUGAGAGACCAGUGUUUGUCACUGAAGUAGGAGGCAGGGCCAGUGAGUUUCUGUAAUGGUAUCCCCAGCAGUGUGGAUACAGGAGGAGUGAUGAGUAAACUCACGUUUGGGAAAGGAACCCAAGUGUCCAUAAUAUCUGGUGAGUCAUUCCAGGUGGCACCAUUUGUAGCCCCAUGGACCAGUGUUGCUAAACUUUUCCCUGGGGAUCUUGGUAUUACUAUGGCAAGGCUAACUGUGAGUGUUAUAACUGUCUUACAGAGGCCUCUGUGAAUGGAAAAGGCAAUACUAUUGAUCUUGAAAAUCUGUGUUUCUCUAGGUCAAACACAUUAAAAUUUGACUUUAAUCAUUCAACAGAUAACUUUAAAUGCCUUCUCUGAGGCCAUCAUUCUAUAAAACGUGAGACUGAGUGUGAAUAUCUAAGAGAGAUGCCUGAACUGUCUCCAAACAGUAUAAAAACUAGUCAAAGAGACCAAGGUAUUAUAAAUUUUGCAACCUGAAAACCAUUUUUGUGUCAACCAGCUGAUGAUGUUAACAGGCACGGUAGAGAUUCAGAGAAAUGGGGUUCUGGCUGAAAAGUUGGGCUACAUGGAGAAGGUUUUAUGAAGUAGAAAGAAUUUGUUGAGGCUAAAGGAUAAAUUAAGAUCUAUUUGGGCAAAGCAAGGAAAUGAGGGGACUUCCAGGCAUAAGAAACACCAAGAAAGAGGGCUUUAUCUCAGGAAUGAACAAGGCAUGUGCAUUUUGGCCAAGUAAACACUCUGAUAAUGAAGUUAGAUGGAGAGAAAGCCAAAGAUGUCUUCAGAAACAAUGGAGAAAAGGCAUGCUAGAGCCUUCAGGAUAAUAUAGACCAUUAGGCCCAAGGCCAGCCACUGGGAAACAGGGAAACAGUUCAGAAAUGCAGACCAGAGGUGAAGGUGAGAGAGGCCAGCUCUUCCCAUGGACAGCUCAUGGCCUGGACCACCCUCCUUUGUUGCUCAGUGGGCUGUAAGAGCCCAUCCGUCAGAGGAGAGGAAACCUAAGGCUUUCUGUAAUGAAGACAGUGAGAGUGAGAUGGAGGUGUUGCCUCCCAGAUGCAGUUUGGCAAGGGAACCAGAGUCUCCAUCACUCCAGGUAUGUCUGUGAAGGUUCACUGCUUCCUGACACUCACGAAGGCCUCAGUGGAACUCAAACUCAAAGUCAGAACUGCUCACCCACAUUUAGGCUUCCUGGUGCCCAACUUCCAAACACAGAUUUGGUGGUAAGGGAGUUUUCCGUCAUUGCUGUGCCCUGGGGAUCUUAGGCACUAGAGCCUUGGAACAUGUGCUUCUGUGGCUAAUUCUGAAUUAAAGUGAAUGGUGAGGAUCUAGAAAUAGCUGGGCUUCCACACUGAAAAGUUGAUCCAGUCUUGCUAAGCCUACCUUCUGAGAUGUCAUCAGUGGUAGGAGGCGUUUAUCUUACUAAAGUGGAACAGGAUGUUUUUCUCCCAGGGCUCUGGCAGAUGGACCCCUAAAGAUCUCCAAAUUAAUAAUGACUCAUUCUUUGUUUUCAGACAAAAAUGUUGCAUUGAGGUACCUGGGGAUAAAAGAAAAGGGGCUUUAUUUUUUAAGGACUUCUUCUUUAGCAUUUAUUUUCAUUUAUUUACUUGACUGUGCCAAGUCUUGGCUGUAACCAAUAUCUUUAGCUGUACCAUGAGAACUCUUAGUUGUGCCAUGUGGGAUCUAGCUCCCUGAUCAGGGAUCGAACCUGGACUCCCAGCACUGGGAGCCCAUUCUUAGCCACUGGACCGCCACAUAAGUCCCUAAAAGAGGGCUUUAAAAAGCCAAGUUUAGGGAUCAAUAUCCAGGGGGUUUUUUACCAAAAAGUCUAAUUAGUAGCAAUUUUCCAAAUCUGAUGGUCACUAGGCCACUUAUUUAUCCCACAAUUAUUUCUUGAGCACCUAGUAUAUGGCAAAGACUAGGGACACAUCUAGGGACAGGUCCUAGUUGUCACAGAGCUUAUAUUCCAGGGAGCCAGGGUGAAGAGUUUUGUCCAGCUGUACUCAUACAGGGCAUAUAAAGGACUUGAGAGAGGAAAUUCAAGCACUCCAAAUCGUGGCAACCACCCAAUGCUGUGCCACGAAGUAUGGGCAUUGUCCUAUAGGCAAUAGGAGUCUCUGGAGUAUUUUGAACAGAAAGUGACUCGAUCAGCUCCAUGUUUUAAACAGCUCAUUUGGAGGAUGAGCUCAAAGAAAAGACUGCAGUGGGGGGAGCAGGAGAGGGUGAGUAAGAAGGAAACCAGGGGCAAGGAAGCUGGGCAGGAGAAACAAGAGCAAAAAUGCAGUGGGGAAAGCCCAAGGGUAUCAGCUGGUAAAAACAAGAAUUGAGAGGGGCUAAAAAUCACCCCGAUUCUCUGACCGCACUAACUGCUCUUUCAUUUUGAUCUGUCACUAGCAAAGUUGAGCAACAGUAAGCCUGCCCUGGUAUCACCCUUCAAGGAUCUCAGCUGGCUUUAGUCUCACUCUCAGCCCCCUCAGCCUUACCUUGUGGUCCGUGGCAUCGCACCCUCCAGACCAAUGCCGUCCGAUAGAACUUUCUGUGACAGUGGAAAUAUUCUGUCAACCUGCACUGUCCUACACUGUAGGCAUCAGCCACAUGUGGCUACUGGGGUCUCAACAUGAAGGUUUAAUUGCUAAUUGGAUUUUUAAUUUUACUUGAUGUUUGUUGUUCAGUCGCUCGGUCGUACCCGACUCUUUGUGACCCCGUGGGCUGCAGCGCACCAGGCUUCCCUGUCCUUCUCAAUCUCCCGGAGUUUGCUUGGUGUUGGUUAGUGUAGCUAAAGACUAUCACACUGGACAGCAUGGUCUAGACCCUCUCCAGACUGACAGCCACUGGCUCUGGGAUCUAAGCGAGAGUUUCACCAGGACUCAGAGUCAAGUAUCUGGCCCCCAUAACAACCCCCUUCUCCCUCUGAGGUCGACCUGUGUCUGGUGCACUUUAACCUCGGCUCUCUUGAGGCCACGUUCUCUCAGCACUUCCACACCCUUCCACAUCACCCUCUCUGGUCCCACCCAUAGCUCCCACUAACUACUGACACAUCCACUGGGGUGUGGUAUUAGCUAAUGGCUUCCCGUCUCUCCCCUCCCAGUAAAAGAUUUCUGCUGUAAAUCCUUAACCCACAGUGCUGUCGUCCUCUCAGGCACAUGGAGAUUGGAGGGGAGCAGGCAGAAUCCUUUGAAGCCAGAGCUUUGGGUGUCGCUCGCAUGUGACCAUGGACAACCCUACCCAUAGGCAGCUCCACCUUGAUUCAGCAUCCCAAGGCCAUGCCAAGGGCUGAUUCCCCUGGUUUUCAUCCAGCUGGAUAUCUGCAUUGCCAAGGCCACCCUGACUGGCUCAGCGCACGGGGUGCAUCAUGCGUCACUGGUCUGCAAGAUUUUGCCUGUGUGGCGAGAAAGCUAGAGGAGCAAAGAACCACGGGCCCUGGAAGCUGCCAUCCCAGCCCUGCUGUAAACUUGCUGGGUGGCCCCAACAUGUUAAUCCUCCUAGUAAACCUCUGCUUCCUCCUCCAAACGCAGGAGGUCGGAAAGAAUAAACACUAAGGGUUGCUUUAAAAACACAGAAUCCCAUGAAAAUACUGAGGAGUCAUACUCAGCACUAAAGAAAAGCCUCCGGCAGCUCCUGCUUUCCUGGGGCGGAAGAGUAGAAACUGUGUAUUAUUGGGUAGCACAGUUAUCAUAGCAAUCUCCUGGUAGUAUCAAGAGCUACAAUUACUAAAAUUAUUUCAGUUUAUUAAAUAUAACUUUAUAUGGAGAAACUCUCAUGGCUUCUUAGAAGAGCCUGGUCAGGAAAAAAGAUGAGGCAAUAUCCCCACUUGACAGAUGAAAUUCCUGAGACUCAGGGAGCUGGUGUGAAUUGCUCAAAGUCUUGUAGCUAGUAAAUGGGAGAGCCAGGGCUUAGACACAAGGGUUCUGAUUUAGAGCCUAAAGCUGUUAUCAGUGAGAGAAAUCUCCUGGUCAUGUAGCCCAUCUUCCAGGUUCAUGCCUGCCUAUUACAAACAUCACACUCCUGUCAACACCAGCCCAAGACGGGGAGACCACCCUAGACUCUAAGACAUGUAGCUUGCUUUGCUGGGUCUGUUUUCUCUGCUUGCUUUGUACUGCCAGAACUAUGUGGUUGCUUCCUAGGCCUUUUGAGCUUUUGAAAAAGUUCCUAUUAAGUAGAAAAAUGGGCAGCAUCGUUAAGUGGCCCCGCAUUGCUAGUUUCCUUGAAUGGUAGGCAGGGCCUGGCAGAGUGUGUUCAUUGAGAGCCUGGCCUCUUGGCCAGGAUCCGUAGUUUGUGCCUGUCCCUGAGUCCUGUCCAUUGUGAGCAGAUGGUUUCUAAAAUGUUCUUUCCCACCUCAAACCUGAGAAUGUGACUUGCCAGCCCCAUAGAGCCCUAUUCUUGCCCAUCACUGGCAUCUGGACUCAGGCCUUGGUUGGAGCAAGGAGAAAAACAACCAUCUCCUAACCUACGUCUUUUUGGUCCACAGAAAUCAAGGACCCCAACCCCACUGUGUACCAGCUGAGAAGCCCCGAAUCCAGCAACACUUCUGUCUGCCUGUUCACCGAUUUUGACUCAAAUCAAAUCAACCUGACACAAAUUGGGGGGUACGAGUGGAACAUGGUACACAAAACAGACAGCACCGUGCUCAACAUGGAGAUCCUGGGGUCCAAGAGCAACGGGAUAGUGACUUGGGGAAACACCAGCGAUUCUGGAUGCACAAACACCUUCAACGAGAACAUUGAGUUUGUCGACAACUUCGGAAUCCCCUGUGAUGCCAAGCUGGUAGAGAAAAGCUUUGAAACAGAUGUGAACCUAAACUCCCAAAACCUGUCAGUGACCGUGUUCCGCAUCCUCCUCCUGAAGGUGGUCGGGUUUAACCUGCUCAUGACGCUGCGGCUCUGGUCCAGUUGAGGUCACCGACAACCUGAGAGCCCCAUGCUCCCUCGCCCCUUGCUCCUCGUCGCCCUUCCUCUCCCUCUUCAAGCAGAGAGGCACACUGUCUGCCCCCGUGGAUGAGAAGGCUCCCUCCUCUCUCUGGCCUGGCUGGCCAUACCAACUGGAUCCUCCAGAUACUGGUGAUCAAGAUGCUGACAAGCUGCCCAGCACGGCUGCCACCCACGCUGUUCCUCACUGCUGCUUGUCACUGCCUGGCAUUCUUGGCAAAGUCAGGGGGCUGCUGCAGCCUCUCCUAGCUGUGGGGACACUCCCUCCCCACCUCCACACCCCAGAGAUUGCCUCUGAUGUCCCACUGGAUGGUGGAUCCCCAGUGGGUUCUCUUGGGCUCUAGCUCCUGGAGAAUGUUAUGUGUUGUUUAUAUUUUUUACAUAGUGUUCAUAAAAAAUAUAUAUAUCACCCUUUCUCCCAAGAUGUAGGGAAAAAUUACCUUUUCAUGAUCUAGGCCCUGCUCUGCUGUGUAUCUGAGCCACAUUGUAUAUUCUGCUGCCACGGCUUCAAUAAAAGUGAUUUGGAAGAGACUGUGCUCCUGUUUGACUGAUUUGGUCCGGGUCGUUUUCAGCUUGCUGUGGAUCACUAGCUGGGCAGAAAGAAACCAAGCCAUCCACCAAUGAGGACUUUCGGUGGGCCUAACUCAACAAGCUGCUUAAGUCAACCUCUUCCUGGAAAAACCUCUAAAAAAUUCCACUGAGAAGCCUGUGCUGGGGGCCAGGCAAACCCACUUAAAAGCCUGGGUCCCUGCUCUUCCACUGGGCAGCCCAUAGCAGGAGGCCCAUGUACAUGGGUGGUAAUGACCUGUAGCUGAAAUCUGGCAGACAGGGACCACACAGCAAGUGUCCCCAAAAGGCCACCCACUGUCUCUUGCCCUGAAGAAACAUUUCCUUUGCCUUUCCUUUCAGACUGGAUUGCCACUGAAACUGUGCAUUGCUCUACAAGUUCAUGGUUG
ensembl:lncRNA